UAAGGAAUAUUGGUCAAUGGACGAAAGUCUGAACCAGCCAUGCCGCGUGAAGGAUUAAGGCCCUCUGGGUUGUAAACUUCUUUUAUCUGGGACGAAAAAAGGGUAUUCUUACUCACUUGACGGUACCAGAGGAAUAAGCACCGGCUAACUCCGUGCCAGCAGCCGCGGUAAUACGGAGGGUGCAAGCGUUAUCCGGAUUUACUGGGUUUAAAGGGUGCGUAGGUGGGUUUGUAAGUCAGUGGUGAAAUCUCCGAGCUUAACUCGGAAACUGCCAUUGAUACUAUAGAUCUUGAAUUAUCUGGAGGUGAGUGGAAUAUGUCAUGUAGCGGUGAAAUGCUUAGAUAUGACAUAGAACACCAAUUGCGAAGGCAGCUCACUACGGAUAUAUUGACACUGAGGCACGAAAGCGUGGGGAUCAAA
rnacentral:rRNA from 1 species